UUUUUUUUUUUCCUACCUGUUAUAUUUCGGCACCCACUGACUGGGUGCCUAGAAUGUAGUAAGUGUGCAAAAACACUUUCAUGGAAAUAAAUAAAUAAAUAAUUUCAGCAAGUCCUUAGGAAUGGACAGGUAUCAGUCACCUUGGUAUGUCCUAUGUAAUGAAAUUCUACAAAAAAAGGUAUUGUUGAACAGUUAACUGAUUACACCACAUUUUCAGAAUGCCCAUUUUCCCUGAUAUCUUGUUGCCAGAGGCUGGUUUCAAGCUUUCUCUGAUAACCACAGAAUGACAGCCCUUUUGCAUACUUAUAUUAAGAGCAUUCUAUUAAAUAUUUUGAGUUUUAUAGUUUAUCUUUAGAAGUCCAUCUGAAAAUUUAGAAUGGCAGCAACAAAACUCCUUAGAAGCGUAUUCCCUAAUCUGUUACACCAGUAAGAUGAGAAAAAGUGGUUUUUUUUUCAGCCCUUUCCCUUCACACAGUAUGAACAUCAAAAAGAUAAAUCAACUGGCAGUAUAGUAGGAGUAAGUGGUUCUCAAACUUGAGUGUGCAUCAGAAUCCCAUGGAGGACUUAAAACACAGAUCACUAGACAACCCCACAGAGUGUGAUUCUAUAGGUCUGGUGUGCGAGCCUGAGAAUUUGUAUUUCUCACAGGUGCCCAGAUGUUGCUGAUGCUGCUGGUCCGGGGAUCACACUUUGAGAACAAGUAUGGCAGUUGCUGGAGGGGAAUCUUGCUAAAAUUAGGUUCAAUACCAGCCACAUUCUUGGUUGAAAUAGUCUCUUUAGAGAAAAUUAUAAAUGGUUGGUGGAGAGGAUGAAUUAGCAGAAAGGGCUACAUAACAUAGAUUAUGCAAUACAUUAUUAAAAAAUUAAUCAGCUUGCUUUAUUACUCUUUGGUUGGUAGGGGUUUUUCCCCACCAAAUAUGCUUCUUCAGGAAUUUUCUUGUUUCAUUUUUUUAUAACUAAAAUUUGAGGGAUCCCUGGGUGGCGCAGCGGUUUGGCGCCUGCCUUUGGCCCAGGGCGCGAUCCUGGAGACCCCGGAUCGAAUCCCACAUCGGGCUCCCUGCAUGGAGCCUGCUUCUCCCUCUGCCUAUGUCUCUGCCUCUCUCUCUCUCUGUGACUAUCAUGAAUAAAUAAAUAAAAUCUUAAAAAAAAAAUAAAAUAAAAUAAAAUUUGAGGUGGGGGGUGCGGUGUACGAGACAGAAAUCUCGGAGUUAUUUUUGUUCUCAGUAAAAAUCACCUCCCUGUCCCUCAGCUCCUCAAGCAGGUCACUCAUUCCUUUUAGUCAUCAUCUGUAAAAAUGGAUACAACAGUACCUAUCUCAGUGACUUCCUGUGAAGAUUAAAUGAGACCCUAAACAGAGAAAACUCAGCACUGAAAAACAGUUUUUAAAUGGUAGCUGCUAUGUUUUUACUAAUUUCUUCACUCACUCGAGGAAAUAAAGUCCAAUGAUCAGGGGACCUGUGACUGAAACCACCUCCAUCUCUAACACGUUAAUUGGCCACAGCAAUAACCCUAAAUCAUAAAGGGAAGGCUCAGUUAUGUUCUCCGUAUUCUCCUUACUGUGGCACAGAUUUGGAAAUUUUGGCACCGGGCACCAGGACAGCAUUCUCCCCAAAUCUCACACACACACACACAAAAGAACUACCUGGAGAACUACUUAAAAAUACAGGUUCCUGGGGCACCUCGGUGGUUCUGCGGCUGAGUGUCUGCCUUUGGCUCGGGGCGUGAUCGGGGGUCCCGGGAUCGAGUCCCACGUCAGGCUCCCUGCAUGGAGCCUGCUUCUCCCUCUGCUUGUGUCUCUGCCUCCCUGGGCCUCUCAUGAAUAAAUAAAAUCUUAAAAAAAAUAAAAAUAAAUAAAACAGGUUCCUGAGCUCCACCCCAGACCGACCAAAAGCACCUGCAGCGGAGCAGGGGAGCCGCCUGGGAAUCUUUCAAAAUAAUCACUCCAGGUGAUUUCUCUGGUCAGCAAGUCUGGGGAAACACAGAAGGGACCUGUGUCGCUCCGUUCUAACGGCGGCUCCUGUAAGCCCUUAAACAUCACUUGUACUUUUCAGUAGGGCCACUGCUGACGACCAAAGUUCAGAAGCACUUUCUGUCUUAGUAACUCUGUUCUUUUGAGCUGAAGUCCCCGGGAGGGAUCAGCUGUGAG
rnacentral:lncRNA from 1 species